UACGUAGGGUCGCAAGCGUUGUCCGGAAUUAUUGGGCGUAAAGAGCUCGUAGGCGGUUUGUCGCGUCGAAUGUGAAAUCCCGGGGCUCAACCCCGGGCCUGCAUUCGAUACUGCCGUGCUUGAGGACUGGAGAGGAGACUGGAAUUCAUGGUGUAGCAGUGAAAUGCGUAGAGAUCAUGAGGAAGACCAGUGGCGAAGGCGGGUCUCGUGGACAGUUCCGUGACACUGAGGCACGAAGGCCAGGGGAGCAAACGGU
rnacentral:rRNA from 1 species